CUGGGUCACUGGUGAAGUUCCCCGCAGGAACUGAGUCAGACCCCAUCUCAGGGCCCUGCAGAAGAUAGGUGCCUGCUCUAAGGCGUGGACCCUCGCGACAGCCCUGGCCCGUCUUGACGGGCGAGGGUUACUGUACUUGUCCCAACCGUACAGAUGAGAAAGCUGAGAUUCAGGGCCAGCAACCCCGUUUCAGCGGAGCGCCUGGCACGCGCCGACUCUUCAGCACCAGUCGCGGUGGCCACCACUGUGCGCGGAGAUGGCUGCGACGCGUGCGCAGGUAAAGUCCAUGCGCGCCUUGCCUCCCACCGGCGCCUUCCCGGGCCUCUGGUUUUUGUCCCCGCCAGCGGCUCCGACUCCAUCGCGUCCUCUUCCAGUCUAGUGCUUUUUUCCAGAUCUCGAUCCCAAACUCCCUCCUGCCAGAAUCUGGACCCGAAUCCACCCAUUGCUCAUUUUCCGCUGCCACUGGAGAGAAUCUCUGAGGUCCCCAGGAGAGCCUGCCUGCACGGAAGAGAUGCCUCCUCAGUAUGGCCGUCCCCGGAGAGGAGCGAUUAAGUGCAGACCUCCAUGUUGCUCUUGAGCCUGAGCGGCUUCAGGGAGCCAUGUUUGUUACUGGCGGGCGCCGGCCUCACUGAGCAUGUGCAGCCCUGGCCGGGCGGCCUCAAAGUUCUGACAUCACAGGGCGGUUCCUGAAGUGGACGUAGUUAUUAAAUGCUGUUCUCCAUGACCGUCUCUGUUCUUCCCAUACGCAAAUGGCAGGCAUCCAGAUCUCCAAGAAUAGAGGAUUAGGAGAGACUCCACCACCUAUGUCCGCACAGUUAAUUAUUGAUUUGUGUCAGUUGCCCAUUUUCUCACUUCCUGUUUCUGUGUCAAGGGGUAUUAAUAAAUCUUUGCC
rnacentral:lncRNA from 1 species